AUUGAACGCUGGCGGCAGGCCUAACACAUGCAAGUCGAGCGGGGUUUUCGGACCUAGCGGCGGACGGGUGAGUAAGGCGUAGGAAGCUACCCGAUAGAGGGGGAUACCAGUUGGAAACGACUGUUAAUACCGCAUACUGUCAAAGCACCAAAGUGCGGGACCUUUGGGCCAGAGGCUAUCGGACGAGCCUACGUGGGAUUAGCUAGUUGGUGAGGUGAUGGCUCACCAAGGGGCCGAUCUCUAGAUGGUUUGAGAGGAUGAUCAGACACAAUGGAACUGAGACACGGUCCAGACUCCUACGGGAGGCAGCAGUGGGGAAUAUUGGACAAUGGGCGCAAGCCUGAUCCAGCCAUGCCGCGUGUGUGAAGGGGGCCUUCGGGUUGUAAAGCACUUUCAGCGAGGAGGAAGGGUUGUGUGUUAAUAGUACACAGCCUUGACGUUACUCGCAGAAGAAGCACCGGCUAACUCUGUGCCAGCCGCCGCAGUAACAC
rnacentral:rRNA from 1 species